AUGAUUGUGGCAGAGACAGAUGCUGCACUCUCUGACAAUGUGACAACUUCGGUCUCAAUUUCCGCUUUUAACGGCACCUCUCCUGAAAGAGCUGAAAACGCUUCAUCCGGCGCUUCAGCGCGCAGCAACUCCCACACUGUGACCAGCGACAGUCUGCAGCUCACCACAGUGACCACCACGACUGUCACGCCCUUGACUGUGACAUCGACGACUGUGACUCUGCCCACUGCCGUCGUUGUGGCGAAAGAGGUCGCGACCACCGUGCCGACCACGACAGCCACCCAGACCACAACAACCGAGACGGAACCACCAACGACAGCCACCACUACCACUACGACAACAACUACCACCACCACCACAAAAGUAGCACCAACAACCACCAAAACACCCACAACCACUUUAGCAACCACAACAACGACAACCCCUCGUCAAACCACCGCUGUAUCUACCUCUGGAAGUACCACGACUAAACCGAGCAGCCCUCCAACUGACAGUUCACCUUUGACCUGUAAUGUGACCGAAAGAUUAUGGGUGAAAACAGUGUUGUCCAUCCAGAUGCGACGAAAUCGCCAAGAAGCUGGAAUGAGACAGGACCUGUCUAAAGGUAUCACGCAGGCACUGCAGAGAGCCUUCAACGACAGCAACAUCCGUGUUCAGAGGUUCUGUAUGAUUAUAGACCCUGGAGGUGAUCUGCAGGAGACGACACAAUCACUAUCUACACAUGAACAGGGGGAAAGAGAGAGAGAGAGAGAGAGUGUUUGUGUUGGAGUUAAAAGAGAGAGAUGGUCAGUCAGCUUGGCUCAAUAUGAUGAAAUUUAUUCAUGUGGGAUUUGUAUUAGCAUUUGCCUCAAGCGCUUAACAAUAAACAAAGCCAGUAAGAGCAUUUGUGCGAAUAUAGCACUAUAAAUAAAAACAGCAUAUGAUUUUAGUAAGGCAUAUUUGAACAUCUAAAAACUUGUUAAAAUAUUGAUACUGUGUACAUUGUUUACACACACAGUAAUAUUUAAUUUAAAUUUAUCCAUGCAUCAUGGGAGAUUUUUGUGUUUUUUUUUUUCCACAGUGUGUCAUUUCCUUCACGUCUCAGUUGCUGUAUUGUGUUUCAUAGCGUUCUGUGAUGGAAAUUAUAUUUCUUUGAGUAAAAUGACUGAUUCCUUUGUAUUGCUAAGACUAAUUUAAUAGCUUGCAUUUUGUGUGUCCUUAAUACACACAAUUAAAUAAUAUUUGUUAAAAUUACAGUUUGACUGGAAAUGGCACAAUAGAAAUAUUAUAUCAUUUUGGAAAAUGUAAUUAUUCUCUCAAAGUAAAUAUCAAAACUAAUCAUGCCAUUAUU
rnacentral:lncRNA from 12 species